AAACGAACGAGGAAGCCAGGAAGAGCUGGCGUACCUGCAGAGUAUUUCAAGAAAAACAACCGAAAUACGACUGUCCACGUUUAAUUCCCACACUGCAGGGUGAUCAUUUGAUUCAUAAUACACCAUAAGAAGAAACUGUGGGGAUGAUUUUGUGAUCAGACGCCCCUGAAUCGAGAUUAAUGAAGCGCGCACCUGCCAUGUGUUCGAAAUUCCGAAUGCGCGAGGCAAGUACAAAGGGGCAAAGCACCGGGAAACAAAACUGACCGAGGAAACAGCAUAUCCCGCAUUCCGCAACGCCGAUUCAGCAUUUUCAAGCAAAGUAUCGAAUCAAGAAAGAAAAUCUACAGCCAUGUUCAUCGAAACGCUUCAGUUCACCAUUCCAAUUGACUUGUGCACGGUGUUUUCAUCGUUACAAAAAGGACCGAAGUCGAAUCUUGAAUUUCCUGCGUCGGUGAAUUCAUACGGCACGACGCAAGAUGCAAACAUUCAAGUAGCGUUGCAUGCAAACAAGCUGACGUUUACAGUUGAUGGUGUUUCAUCAAAUGCUAGCAUGAUAUCAAAGAGUGAAUGUAAAACAUUAAGACUUUCAGUAUUUGACGUUGACCGUUCAUUAAUACCUCAAGAAAGUGAAGUUGUAAAUUACGAACAGAUGCCUUCUUCGGUCACAGUUUCAUCUAAACGUUUGCACGAUAACUCCUCAUCAAUACAACCUGCAGCAAAAGUGAGACAUUUAGAAAUUACACCAAUUCGUUCACCAGCCCGUCGCAUUCCACAUGCUCAAUCAACGUCUUCUCCGUCCAACAAUACACAUUCAAAAUCUCAAAAUGACUCUUCUGUUAAUGUGAAACAAGAACCAGAAGAUCCAGAUUUAAUAGAAAUAGAACCAGACCCUGAACCAGACGACAUUGUGCCAAAGACAGAGACUCCAUACAUGCAAAUAGAUUAUUCAUCCGAUGUACCUCAUACGCAAACGUCCCAAGCAGCUCUAGAUCGACUCUCUCAUCCACAAUCAUCGCAUUCUCAAUCACCCGGUUCUUCAUCAUCGUCCUUCCAUCAAAACGUUCCACAUGUGCCAGAUUACUCAGAACCCAGUACCAGUCGAGUUCAUCAUGGUGACCAAAGUGCAGAUGACUAUUUAGUGUUUCAAGACGACAAUGACUACGGCGACGAUAACGAAGCAGAUUACAGCAAUGACGGGACAAAAGGCCAGGCACUAUCAGGAAAUAGCCAUGCUUCUUCACAGACCCCAAAGGAACCUUUGGCCACUGGAGGAAUUUCGUACCCAUCAUUCCCAAACUCUGAACACUUUUCUCAGUUAGUUGUCUAUGAACAGGACACGAAAGGGGUGAAGUUUUACAAUUGUGGAAUUUGUGGGCGAGCCUUUUUUGAUGCUCGUAGUGUCCGCAGGCACAAGAAGGCCGAACAUGAAAACGUCACUCACUCUUGUGUUUGUGGACGGGUUUAUAAAUACAGAAGUGGUUUUACACAGCAUCUGAAGACGUGCUCGAUUCAUAAGCUUGCGGAAACAAGUUAACAGUAAACUUGAUGGGGUGAUGGCUGUGUAUGAAAUACCAAGUUGUUUUGUCUUCAGUGGUUUGCAAGGAACUCUGGAUAUUGUGUACACAGUGUAGCUCUACAUGAUGUGUUCUUGCUGGAAAAGGCUUCAAGUCUCAACUGUUUCAGGGACACAAGCUAUAAACAUCACACAUUAAGCUGUGAAAUACUAUAAAGGAGUUAGAGAUUGUUCAUCUGUGCAUGAGGAGUUUGUGCUCUGUGGGAGACAAGGUUCCAGGCCAAAUGACUAACAUGCUGCUAACAUUGACCAGAACAUCACUCUUGGGCAAAUGCUGUGGUUUCAUUGGCUGCCUUUGAUGAGCAGACGUCCCGGUAUCUGGUGUAUGACACUGUUGCCAGCUCAAUGCUUGCAUUCCACACCCAGAAUCCAAAGACUUCGCAAGGAUAUUCUCAGCACUCAGAUGUACCCGGACACAUGUUCCAAGUACCCUACCAGUCAUCACCCCAAGGAGCUAAUUUUGAUCCGUCACAGAAGAAAAUGUCAUUUUGUGACGUGUGUGGCAAGAGUUUUGUUGACUUCUAUUCCGUGCGGAGACACAAGAAGGCCAGCCAUGACAAUGUCACCCACUCGUGUGUGUGUGGCAGGUCCUACAGAUAUUCCAGUGAUUUGAUGAAACACAUGAAGAGAUGCCCAGUUUAUCAGGCCACUGUGUGAUACGAGAAGGACAAGUACAAUACUGGUUGUCUCUCAGAUCUCUUCCAACUGAAGUGGGGAGGUGGGAUAGCCUAGUGGUUAAAGCGUUUGCUCAUCGUGCUGAAGACCCAGGUUUGAUUCCCCACAUGGGUACAAUGUGUGAAGCCCAUUUCUGGUGUCCCCCGCCAUGAUAUUGCUGGAAUAUUGUUAAAAGCAGUGUAAAACAUUACUUUCUCACUCCAACUGAAGUUUUAUCCUAGUGACAAAUAUUGACAUAGUCUGAAUGUGCUGGCCAUGUGGUCGUUUGUGAACAAAAUACAUAGUUUGUUUCUUGAUAACUUGAUGUCUUUUAAAGGAUGAAUUUCUUACAUUGGUUUGAAUCUGUUUCUGAUUUUACUUGUCAAGAACAAACACGUGUGUAGUGAGGAUGGUUCAGAUGUUCUCUGAUAAUCUGACAACGGAUUCUGAAUUGAGGGAACGCACCACGGUCAAAUUUUAAUUUGAUGGACCCUCGAGACUACCUGCUGGUGCUUAGAUCCAGUAUACACACAAUAAUUGUCUGGUUGUCUUUGUUUAGUCUUUAAGAACAGAUGUUAGUGAAGAGGAUUUUCACUCUGGUGUCACACACAAGAACCACGUAGUUCUGAUAGUCUGUGAUUGUUCUCGGAGAUAUACAGAACUUGCUCACUUUUUAACCAUAUAAGCACCAUCAGUCCAUGUCUUAAGGCACAGUUUGACAUUGGAUUAUUGCAUUGGUCUGCAACAUCCUUAGGAGACUGUUUUAGCUCCUCAACAUUGUCAACUGUUAGUGUCAGUCUUUUACAGGAUUGAUUUAAAUUGCUCAGACGUUACUGUCCUGUCUCUGUGUUUACCAUAUUUGUCGACUUAUUCAAGCUGACUAAGUUUCUGUUAAGGAAUGGACAUGUGUGAUCUGUGACAAUAUCUCUUCUGUGAUGUUUAUGUGAACAAAGAUGUGGUUGGUUGUACAGAAAUACUGACGAUAAUUCACGAAGAUUAGACAUACCAUAUCUUGAUUUACAGAAAUAAAACAUACUUGCACCCA